UACAGAGGUCUCAAGCGUUGUUCGGAUUCAUUGGGCGUAAAGGGUGCGUAGGUGGCGCGGUAAGUCGGGUGUGAAAUUUCGGAGCUUAACUCCAGAACUGCCUUCGAUACUGGCGAUCUAGAGUCCGGGAGAGGUGAGUGGAACUGCGAGUGUAGAGGUGAAAUUCGUAGAUAUUCGCAAGAACACCAGUGGCGAAGGCGGCUCACUGGCCCGGUACUGACGCUGAGGUGCGAAAGCGUGGGGAGCAAACAGG
rnacentral:rRNA from 1 species